UCUCACUCUCAUCUCAGGUCUCUACAUCGAUGGUGUCUCUCUCUCUUCUCUUUCCCAUCUCAGACUGAGUUCUCUCUCACACUCUCAUCCAUCUCAGAUCAGAUCGGUGUGCUGUUGCUCGUCUUUCUCUGUCGGUUGAGGCAUUAAGAUUGGGCUUGGGUUCCAGGGGAGAGCCUCUACAAGAACACUUCUGAACUUCUUCAUUAAGAUAUGGGGUACAUGUAGAGACAGUGUUUGGGUGACCUUACCCUACAUCUGCCUUGAUUGGUGGUUCAUCGGUGGUGAUGGUAAGGCUAGUACUCUUUGAUUGAGACUCAUCUAUGCCACUGUUUGGUUUGAUGGAGGUUUUAGGUAAAGAUGAGAGACACAUCUACAAAGUGUGUUAAUAAAAUAUAUUUUUUGAUUGGUUUAAAAUUUUUGAAUGUUUAAAUUUUGGUGGGAUCAAUACAGUUUUUGAAUAUGAGAUUCAUAAUUUUGGACCAAUUAGUUCGUGACAGAUUUAUUUUUGUUCAUGGAAAUGUAGUGUUGCAGUUUUUGAGAAGCAGCCAAAAAAUUUCAAGCUGAUUUGUGUUCUAACUAUGAGAAAUAUAUGGAAAAGAAACACAUCUGCAGAAGAGUGGAAAAGAGAAAAGAAUGAGAGAAAAUAGAGAUGUACAAAUACUGUAUUUGAAAUUUUAGUGGACAACUCAUGGAGUUCUUCCAAACUUUAAUUUGUAAUUGUAUCUUCAAUCUCAUUUCAAGUCAUGUUUACUUAUAUAAUCUUGUUUACAAAUUUUCAGCAGCUAUGUUGCUAUUGGAAUGGAAAUGCUAUUGGAAUGGAUGUUGUUUAUUUAUAUUGUUUACAGGCUGCUAUUGGAAUGGAUGUUGCUUAAUUAUAUUGUUUACAGGUUUUCAGCAGCUAUGUUGCUAUUGGAAUGGAAAUGAACCGUAGAUAACGGA